AGUGUAGGCGGUUACUUAAGUCGGAUGUGAAAGCCCUGGGCUCAACCUGGGAAUGGCAUUCGAUACUGGGUAACUAGAGUUUGGUAGAGAUAAGUGGAAUUCCGGGUGUAGCGGUGAAAUGCGUAGAUAUCCGGAGGAACAUCAGUGGCGAAGGCGGCUUACUGGACCAAAACUGACGCUGAGGCUCGAAAGCGUGGGGAGCAAACAGGAUUAGAUACCCUGGUAGUCC
rnacentral:rRNA from 1 species